UGGGGAAUCUUGCGCAAUGGCCGAAAGGCUGACGCAGCGACGCCGCGUGUGGGAGGACGCUCUUCGGGGUGUAAACCACUGUUGCCCGGGACGAACACACCAUUUCGAUGGUGCUGACGGUACCGGGUGAGGAAGCACCGGCUAACUCCGUGCCAGCAGCCGCGGUAAUACGGAGGGUGCGAGCGUUGUCCGGAAUCACUGGGCGUAAAGGGCGCGUAGGUGGCCGAGCAAGGUCGCGGUGAAAGCCCGGGGCUCAACCCCGGGUCGGCCGUGGCAACUACUUGGCUUGAGCACUGUAGGGGCGGGUGGAAUUCCGGGUGUAGCGGUGGAAUGCGUAGAUAUCAGGAGGAACACCGGUGGCGAAGGCGGUUCUCUGGGCAUGACCUGACGCUGAGGAGCGAAAGUGUGGGGAGCGAACAGGAUUAGAUACCC
rnacentral:rRNA from 1 species